UACGAAGGGGGCUAGCGUUGUUCGGAAUUACUGGGCGUAAAGCGCGCGCAGGCGGUUCUUCAAGUCAGUGGUGAAAGCCCGGAGCUCAACUCCGGAACUGCCAUUGAAACUGUAGAACUUGAGGAUGAGAGAGGUGAGUGGAAUUCCCAGUGUAGAAGUGAAAUUCGUAGAUAUUGGGAAGAACACCGGUGGCAAAGGCGGCUCACUGGCUCAUUUCUGACGCUCAGGCGCGACAGCGUGGGGAUCAAACAGG
rnacentral:rRNA from 1 species